CCCUUAGAUGUUCUGGGCUGCACGCGCGCUACACUGAAGCUAUCAACACGUUUUCCCUCCCUGAGGAGGGCGGGUAACCUUUUGAAUCAGCUUCGUGGUAGGGAUCGGGGCUUGCAAUUGUUCCCCGUGAACCAGGAAUUCCUAGUAGACGCGAGUCAUAAGCUCGCAUCGAUUAAGUCCCUGCCCUUUGUACACACCGCCCGUCGCUACUACCGAUUGAACGUUUUAGUGAGGCAUUUGGACCGACGCAUCUCAGUUUAACCGCUGGUUUGUGUUGGAAGGACUUCCAAACUUGAGCGUUUAGAGGAAGUAAAAGUCGUAACA
rnacentral:rRNA from 1 species